GGACGAACGCUGGCGGCGUGGAUUAGGCAUGCAAGUCGGACGGUAGGGCUUUAUCGUAAGAUAGAGUUUGAGAGUGGCGAACGGGUGAGUAACACGUAGGAAUCUACCCUUAAGACGGGGACAACCCAGGGAAACUUGGGCUAAUACCGGAUGAGAGUGCGAGAGAUUGCAUUUAAAAGGAUGGCGAAAGUUGUCGCUUAGGGAAUGAGCCUGCGGUCUAUUAGUUAGUUGGUGAGGUAAGAGCUCACCAAGGCGAUGAUAGAUAGGCGGCCUUAACGGGUGGUCGCCCACACUGGGAUUGAGAUACGGCCCAGACUCCUACGGGAGGCAGCAGUCGAGAAUAGUCUACAAUGGCCGGAAGGCUGAUAGUGCGACGCCGCGUGAACGAGGGAGCCCUUCGGGGUGUAAAGUUCUUUUCUAUACGAGCAGUGCUAUAUAUAUGGAUAGUAUAUAUAGAGGGAUAGUAGUAUAGGAAUAAGCAACGGCUAACUCCGUGCCAGCAGCCGCGGUAACACGGGGGUUGCGAGCGUUGUCCGGAAUUACUAGGCGUAAAGGGCAGGUAGGCGGAUCUACGAGUUUUUUGUUAAAGGCUACGGCUCAACUGUAGUAGAGCAGGAGAUACUGUAGGUCUGGAAUGCGGUAGGGGAAGACAGAAUUCCUGGUGUAGCGGUGGAAUGCGCAGAGAUCAGGAGGAAUACCGAAGGCGAAGGCAGUCUUCUAGGCCGUAAUUGACGCUUAACUGCGAAGGUGUGGGGAUCAAACAGGAUUAGAUACCCUGGUAGUCCACACAGUAAACGAUAAUCACUAGAUGUCGGGUUCUAGAUGGAUUCGGUGUCGGAGCAAACGCGAUAAGUGAUUCGCCUGGGGAGUACGAUCGCAAGGUUGAAACUCAAAGGAAUUGACGGGGGCCCGCACAAGCGGUGGAGCAUGUGGUUUAAUUCGAGGCAACGCGAAGAACCUUACCCGGUUUUGACAUCCACGGGAGGCUUCAGAGAUGGAGCUGUGCCGGCGUAAGCUGGAGCCGUGAGACAGGUGCUGCAUGGCUGUCGUCAGCUCGUGUCGUGAGAUGUUGGGUUAAGUCCCGCAACGAGCGCAACCCUUGCCUUCAGUUACCAUCAUUAAGUUGGGGACUCUGGAGGGACCGCUGCGGUAACAACGCAGAGGAAGAUGGGGACGACGUCAAGUCAUCAUGGUCCUUAUGGCCGGGGCUACACACGUGCUACAAUGGCAGUUACAGAGGGAAGCGAUUCAGUAAUGAGGAGCGAAACUCAGAAAAGCUGCCGCAGUUCGGAUUGAGGUCUGCAACUCGGCCUCAUGAAGUCGGAAUCGCUAGUAAUCGCGCAACAUCAUGGCGCGGUGAAUACGUCCCCGGGCCU
rnacentral:rRNA from 1 species